rnacentral:rRNA from 1 species
AUUGAACGCUGGCGGCCGGCCUAACACAUGCAAGUCGAACGAGUGGCGGACAGGUGCGUACUGUCUGGGAAACUGCCCGAUGGCGGGGGAUAACUACUGGAAACGGUAGCUAAUACCGCAUACCAUCGGAUGUGCCCAGUUGGGAUUGGCUAGUAGUUGGGGUAACGGCUCACCUAGGCGACGAUCCCUAGCUGGUCUGAGAGGAUGACCAGCCACACUGGGACUGAGACACGGUCCAGACUCCGACGGGAGGCAGCAGUGGGGAAUAUUGCACAAUGGGCGCAAGCCUGAUGCAGCAAUGCCGCGUGUGUGAAGAAGGCCUUCGGGUUGUAAAGCACUUUCAGCGAGGAGGCGUUACUCGCAGAAGAAGCACCGGCUAACUCCGUGCCAGCAGCCGCGGUAAUUC